rnacentral:rRNA from 1 species
AGUGAACGCUGGCGGUAGGCCUAACACAUGCGAGUCGAACGGCAGCACAGUAAGAGCUUGCUCUUACGGGUGGCGAGUGGCGGACGGGUGAGGAAUACAUCGGACUCUACUUUUUCGUGGGGGAUAACGUAGGGAAACUUACGCUAAUACCGCAUACGACCUACGGGUGAAAGCAGGGGAUCUUCUGACCUUGCGCGAUUGAAUGCGCCGAUGUCGGAUUAGCUAGUUGGCGGGGUAAAGGCCCACCAAGGCGGCGAUCCGUAGCUGGUCUGAGAGGAUGGUCAGCCAAACUGGAAGUGGGACACCGUCAAGGCUACUAAGGGAGGGAGCAGUGGGGAAUAUUGGACAAUGGGGGGGAGUCUGGUACAGCCAUACCGCGUGGGUGAAGAAGGCCUUCGGGUUGUAAAGCCCUUUUGUUGGGAAAGAAAAGCAGCAGGUUAAUACCCAGCUGUUCUGACGGUACCCAAAGAAUAAGCACCGGCUAACUUCGUG